GACGAACGCUGGCGGCGUGCUUAACACAUGCAAGUCGAACGGAAAGGCCCUGCUUUUGUGGGGUGCUCGAGUGGCGAACGGGUGAGUAACACGCGAGUAACCUGCCCUUGACUUUGGGAUAACUUCAGGAAACUGGGGAUCAUACCGGAUAGGAGCUCCUGCUGCAUGGUGGGGGUUGGAAAGUUACGGCGGUUGGGGAUGGACUCGCGGCUUAUCCGCUUGUUGGUCGGGUAGUGGAUUACCAAGGCUUUGACGGAUAGCCGGCCUGAGAGGGUGACCGGCCACAUUGGGACUGAGAUACGGCCCAGACUCCUACGGGAGGCAGCAGUGGGGAAUAUUGCACAAUGGGCGGAAGCCUGAUGCAGCAACGCCGCGUGCGGGAUGACGGCCUUCGGGUUGUAAACCGCUUUCGCCGGUGACGAAGCGUGAGUGACGGUAAUGGGUAAAGAAGCACCGGCUAACUACGUG
rnacentral:rRNA from 1 species